GACGAACGCUGGCGGCGUGCUUAACACAUGCCAGUCGAACGGAAAGGCCUGCUUUCCCUUGUGGAUUGCGGGUGCUCGAGUGGCGAACGGGUGAAUAACACGUGAGUGAUCUGCCCCCAACUUGGGUAUAAGCCUGGGAAACUGGGUCUAAUUCCCGAUAGGACUGCAGGGUGGUGCCUGUGGUGGAAAACGAUUUUCUAGUGGUUGGGGAUGAGCUCGCGGCCUAUCAGCUUGUUGGUGGGGUAAUGGCCUACCAAGGCGGCGACGGGUAGCCGGCCUGAGAGGGUGGACGGCCACAUUGGGACUGAGAUACGGCCCAGACUCCUACGGGAGGCAGCAGUGGGGAAUAUUGCACAAUGGGCGGAAGCCUGAUGCAGCGACGCCGCGUGGGGGAUGACGGCCUUCGGGUUGUAAACUCCUUUCGACCGCGAGGAAGCCACCUGGUUGGAAGGGUGGUGACGGUAGUGGUAGAAGAAGCACCGGCUAACUACGUG
rnacentral:rRNA from 1 species